rnacentral:rRNA from 1 species
GUCCACGCCCUAAACGAUGCGAACUGGACGUUGGGAGCAACUAGGCUCUCAGUGUCGAAGCUAACGCGUUAAGUUCGCCGCCUGGGGAGUACGGUCGCAAGACUGAAACUCAAAGGAAUUGACGGGGGCCCGCACAAGCGGUGGAGUAUGUGGUUUAAUUCGAUGCAACGCGCAGAACCUUACCUGGUCUUGACAUCCACGGAACCUUUGAGAGAUCAGAGGGUGCCUUCGGGAACCGUGAGACAGGUGCUGCAUGGCUGUCGU